rnacentral:rRNA from 1 species
CGUGUAGGCGGCUAGAUAAGUCAGAUGUGAAAUCCCUGGGCUUAACCCAGGAAGUGCAUUUGAAACUGUUUGGCUUGAGUAGGGGAGAGGAAAGUGGAAUUCCUGGUGUAGAGGUGAAAUUCGUAGAUAUCAGGAGGAACACCGGUGGCGAAGGCGACUUUCUGGCCCUAUACUGACGCUGAGACGCGAAAGCGUGGGUAGCAAACAGGAUUAGAUACCCUGGUAGUCCACGCUGUAAACGAUGUUCACUAGGUGUUGGGGGUAUUGACCCCCUCAGUGCCGCAGCUAACGCAUUAAGUGAACCGCCUGGGGAGUACGGUCGCAAGACUAAA